CUUGUUUCUGUCAUUUUCUUAAUGAAGCCACAACCCUUUUCUUAUUUUUUUUAAUAAAAAAAUCCAAGCUAUUAUAAGGCCCCUAACAUAGCUCCUAUACCUAACCACGGAACCUCAAGUAACACCCGUAAUAUCACUCUCAAUGGUCCUUCAAAGCGGUGUAGUUAUGAAUAGAAAAUGAAGGUAAGCUUUUGUGCAAUUUCUCACGGUUAACAAAUUUAACUUUUUUUACCAUCUUCUUUCCAAAGGAAUAUCUUCUGUGCAAAAUUCGCAAUCUCAAUACCAAAUACCAUAUCAAUACCUUAUCGGUUUGGCUUGGUUCGGUACGGUAUGGUAUGGUACACCUCUAUACCAAAACAGGUCUCUAGCCAUUUUUCUCAAUAUUUAUCUCGGUAUAUCUCCAAUACGAGCCGGUACGUACCUCAGUACGCCUUAGUGUGGGGCAGUACGAGGCCUGUAUUUUGACUUCAAGUGAAGUUUCGUACCGAUUUUCUUCCGAUACGAUACGGUACACCCCGUAUAGGCGGUACGGCAGACCAUGCUUCUCUACUAAUGUAUUCCUCUAAAAUCUAUCUCAACAUAUAUCUUUUUUCCCAAAGUAAUUGUGAAAAUAAUAUGCAAUAUUUUCCUCUAGUAUCCUUAGGGUUUUCGUUUAUGGAAACAAGGAUUUCAAUCAAGAGAUCUUGACCAGUACAGUUGGAAAUAUGAUUUUCCACUUGGCACAUAAUAAAAUAGCAAUAUUCUCCUUGUAUCCAAUCUUCUGUAACUUGUCAUCCCCCACGAAUCUAUUUUGUUCUGAAUUAUUUCUAGUACACAUUUUUAAGGGUAAUAAUAAUGUCCUUCAUGAUUAAGGAUAUUC
rnacentral:lncRNA from 1 species